GUGUGCCCACCAUGCAUGCAUGGCCUUGGCUUUGUCUGGAGUCGCAUGCUAGGUCAGGUCUGUGCGUGCGUGGACAGAGCAGGGAGGGCACUCUACUUGGAUCUAUUGGAGUGCUUUGCUCUGCAAGUGUCAAAGCGAAAGGUUGGGAUUGAAACCAACAUCUUAAAGCCCUUUUUAAAAACACAGGAUGUGAAAUUGAACUUAAAAAAUAUUUUCCUGUGGACUGUAUCAUCUUCACAUAUGUCUGGAGGAUGAAAUUUCCUAAUACUUUGGAUAUGCGAUUGUCAGUACAAGCAGUAACGUUGGCGUUUUCCACAUCACUGCAGGGUUCAGCUGCACCUUGGUUAGAAAAACGUUAGACAAAAGUGAGCUGGUAACAGCAUUUGCGUGUGGACUGUUGAACGGCCUAAGGGAAGACAGGAAACGAACACACCUGACCCAGUGUCUUCCAGAUCUUUCUGUGUCUGUGUGCUGUGGACAUAAACAGAAAAGAACAGGCGGAAGUUUGAGGCUGCGUGCCAGAUGCGUGGACUAACUUCUGGGCUUUCCCACCUGACCUGUCGGAUGUGUAUCCAUAGCUAUGCCAGUGCCAGGCUGCUUGGAUUAUAACUACCCUGAGGUCCUUAGAACAGAGCUGGCCCCUGGCUGAUGCAGUGGAUGAACACUCAGGCUCAUCUCUGAUUACUGGAGCGGCGAUGAUGGGGGGGCUGUGCCUUCAGCAGGGGCAGCGUCUGGUCCCAGGCUGACAGCUCAGUGUCCCCAGCCUCUCCUGCGUUGUCCCCAGCCACAUCCCACGGCACAGGCACCUGGUAAGCCCCACUACAUGCCCACAGAAGAGUGAGGACAAUAGGUCACGUGUUGGCCUUUGUGCCCCGACAGCACCCUCUGGGAUCCACUGGCUCUAGGCUAGUGGCUGACGGGCGCUUGCCAAAUGGCAGCUUGCCUGAGGCUCGUCCAUCCAAGCCCCAUGCAAGACGAGGGGAGCCACAGGGCCGGGAGCCAGCUUACCAUAGGUGUGGGAGAUGCCGCAGUCUUCCACUUGCUAGGUCACUUCCUGAA